AGGACAUGUUCUCUGCAUCCACAGAAGCUCUUUUCAAACAUUACUGAGAAGACUAAUAAGAAGAAAAAGCAUCCUCUGAUGGGUUCUCAGAAAGAAAGCAUUCCAUGUAACUACAGGGCAAUGGUGCUCUGAUUACCACAGGCCCAGCUGACAGAUAGGUUGCCAGGCAGCAUUUGCUCUGCUGAGAGGCGUGGUGGAAUGAAGCAGCCAUGUGUGGCACCCAGUGAACUCACCUGGAUGGUACCACCAGAGCUACGCCUGGCCCUGUGUUGCUGAGAACAGCCUUUUGUGCCCUCUGACUGGGAGAGGAAGGCCCAGGCAUGGUGGGUCUGUGGAUCACAGUGCCCCAGGAGCCUCACUCAGCAAUAGGCAGCUGGCUGUGUCCUUUCCCACCUCUGACAGAGGGUGAGGUUGAAGGAGUAGAGACCUGAAUAUGCUCUGGACUCAGGAAGCACGGAGCAGCAAUCUUUUCCUUUCCUAACAAGGAUCCUGGAGUGUUGGUGACUGAACAAUCUAGAAAAGGAGAGGUUGCAGAGACCCUCUACCCACACCUCCAUGGUCCAUGUGGCAAUCGGCUUCCUGCACAAACCACCACUCCCCCGGCUUCCUGCCAGCCUCCUUUUAGCAGGGGGCCAAACAUGGGCUGAACUCCUAACGCCUGGAGAAAUGCCUCUUCCCUACCAAGUCCCCAGAAGCAUUGGAUGGGGGAGCAGGGGAGUUGCUGGAAGAAUCUGCCUUUAAUACGUGUCAGGUUCCAUCCUAACCACUUUCAGUCAGCAAUGUCAGGGUAAGGUCAAUUCCAGGAUUUUCCAUUCCUUGGCCUUCUGUGACCAACAGCCCAUGUCCAUGUUGUGAUAACUUUUUCUUCACCAAGAUGACUUUUAAACCGACAACAAGAGCAACGGUUACACUUACACAAGAGAAGGUGAGGCAAUUUCAGGCAGGUUCCCGCGCUGGCUUGUCAACAGCCAUUGUCUGGGCGCCUUCUGGAGAAGGAAAGGAGCAGCAGGCCACCGUGCAAUGUGCACGACGGUGACGGGGGUGGGGCUGGUCAAAGCCCGAAAAAAAAGUGCACUGGGAUGAAGUGUGGGAAACUCUAAAAUUUCACUGAUUAACCACUGAUGAAAUAACAGAGGUCUAUUUUUCUCUCUCAGGGACCCCUUUUUCACAAUCUGAAUGUGAAAACUAAGAAACCCAAUUUGCCUACGCUUUCCACUGAGCUGACUGUGUGUGAGGUGCUGCCGUUUGAGGGUGCAGGCAGCCUGCACUCUCUUUUCCGAAGGACCUGGUGUACAGCAAGUGCCCUGCCACCUUCUCUCUCCUUGAGGAGGUUGUGAGGAGCACAACAGUGAAUUCUUUCAUUCCUGCCAUUUGUUUUAAGGAGGUAUAAGGGCGUUAGUUUUUUCGGUCUCACCUUCCUCACCUCCCGCACCAGCAGGGCUCCUCCCCGCCCCAUUAUCUUUAGGAGGCACAUUUCCAUGUCAAAGACCUCUGGGGAGAAAAAGCGGCUUUUUCUUUCACCCCCUGCCUUGUUUGUUCAGGAUUCGCCUUAACUCCGUCCUUCCCAGCCUUGCUCCACAUUAGCAAAAGCAAGGAGUAGAACCUUAUUUAGAAAUCAAAACCAUGGAAAAAAACAGCUUCUUUCUGUGAAAGAUAAGAACAGUUUAAUUGCCCUUGAAAAUAUCAACUUGGUGUAAGAAAGAUCACUAUCUCGUGUAGUAAACUAGAAAUAAGGGUCAGUCUGCAGUGAAACUGUAGGUUUCCUUAAGAAAAAUAGAAGUGCUUAGACAUCACAGCUAGGUAAAUCCACAGCAGGCUAAUUCAGAAGAAUUUCAAGGGGGGAGUGGGUACAGUUUAACUUGUUCUGCAUGUCCUGAUGUGCCCAUUUGGUAGAACUAAUGGGUAAUUCAGUUGGACCCAAAGAAGGCUCUCCAUGUUCCUACUAUGUUCCUACUCUUCUGGGUCUGGAGAACCUUGAAAUCCAUUACUGCUCCUGCCCUUUUGACAGAUUCUUGGGAAUCCAAAUCCACUUAUUUCCUGUCAGUUGCCAACAUGUAGGGCUUCACUUGGGAGUAGUUCUCUGGGGUUUUCAUCAGUGUGCUCUUUGGACCCAAGUAAGACACUUUCCUGAGGAAAGCUCCCACACUGGACGUGUACCACUAGGGACCCAGGCUCACUAGCUCUUAUCUGACACCAGAGCAGACACCCCAUUGGGCUUUGGGGAGCAGUUCACCCCUCUGGGAAUUCCCAUACUAAAAGGUAGUCUUAGAACCAGAGGAAAAGUCAAAAGUUUAUGGUUCCUGUUCUUUCUCAUGUCCCAGAACUUGCCCCGUCCCCUUCCACGCUAGACUUCACUCAUACUGAAAUACUACGAGUUCUUGAACAGGCUUAUUCUUCUCUUCCUCCAGAUAUUUCAUAAAAUAUCUCUUUUCUUUGGAAUGUUCUUCCCCCCUUUGUUCCUGGUUAACUUCCACUUAGUUAACUGUCAUACCCAGUUAACUCCUGAGUCUUUGAAAACUCUGUUAGUUGUUCUUCCUAUGUAAUGCCACAACUGUCUGGGGGAACAAAUAAAACAGUUAUGGAGAAGAAGUACAGGUUUCAGAAAGCCUAAUUACGUGUCUCUUUUAAUGUGGUACUUGGAAGUCCUAAUGACCUCUUCCUUCAUUCUUAAAAAAGUUGACCCAUGUCCUUAUGAAACUAGAACAAGAAUCUAGGCCUGAAAGCAAUGUCUGUACUAGUAGGAUUUUUAUGUGCUCCAUAUAUAAGCCAGUUGAGUAGACAUAGGAAGAGAUUCUCAAUGGAAGGGUCAACCUAACAUGUUUAUUUCCAAAGAUACCUAGGAGAUCUACAGAAGUACACAAAACCUUGGUUUUAAAGUAGUUUACAAUCUAGCAGUGGGAUAUGUCACUUACAUUUAAUUUUCUAUUGCUGUGUAACAAAGUACUCACACACAUAGCAGCUUAACACAACAACCAUUUAUUAGCUUGAGACAGGGACCGUGGAUGUAGUCAGAAUAGAGUGAGAGCCUCCGGAGUGGGCAGGGCAGGAUAUCUGUAGUCCGAGCAAUGUAACUACAUGCAAGGAAAC